UGCACUUGGUAGAUACCAUUUCCUUAUCACCGUUAUUACCUUCUCCACUUAGGCGAGUAGCUCUUUCUUUCUCCCUGUCCAGGUUAGAGCCCUGCAUCUUGUCACAGACACGGCCUAAGAGCUGCUUCUCUGCCAGGCCUCCUGGGGCCAGGCCUGCACAACUCUGUGGAAGGAAGCUUGGGCCCGCACAGGAAUGGCCUGUAAUUGAUCCCAGUUAGAGGUGGAUAGGCCCUGUCCUCCUCGGCUGGGGCCUCAGGAAGCAGGGUGCUGCCUGAUUUAUGUCCCUGCUGCACCGAGGAUGACCUGGUGACCUCUCUACGUGUCCUAGCAUCAGACAAGGCCAUAAAACAGAAUUGGUGUUGCACAUUUGUUCCUAUCGGGGCUGACUUGUACACUGGUGCACCCAGCUUAGGUCAGUCCCCUGCAGGGCCCUCCCCAGGAAAGGCUGGUGUGUGUGGCCGCUCUGUGCGGCCGGGCCACCGGAAGUUCAGGAACGGUGUGCAGAAGGGAAAUCACAAUCUCGUAUGUUUUCAUGGCUUCCGUGACCAUCCUCAGUGAAAGACACCCAAUCCACAUCCUGAACCUCCAGCUCCCCCACACCCACCCCGGCCUCAGACCCAGUCUCAGUGACCUGCUGGACACCUCCUCCUGCACAUACCAAAGGCCUCGUCUGAACUCAUGGUGUUCGCCUCUCUGCUGGUUCUUCCUCCCUCAUCUGUCGGCCCCAGGAGCUGACACCUGGGCCAAAGAAGUCGCUUCCUCCCUGGCCUGGUGCAGCUUCUUUGCACAGACUCCUUGAUAGCUCUGACCACACCAUUUUGUGGUUAGAACAACUUAUUGCAGCUUUCGCCAUUAUCUGUAUCUCUGUCUCCUCCAAUAGACUGUAAAGUCCUACAGGCAAGAGACCACAUUUGAUUCAUCUCUGCACCCCCAGGGCCUAGUGUAGAGCCUGGCACAGAGGACCUGCCAUGAACCUUUGAUGAAUGAAUGAGUGAAUGGAUGGAUAAAUAGAUGGAUGGAUGGCUGAAUAAUGAGCAUAGAUGUGUAUCUUUCGAGGUAGUUUUCAAAUAAAGAACAGGGCUUCUGAGGAGGGACUCCCAAGUUCCCCUGGGAAUAGUGUGAUUAGAUAUCAGCAUCCUACAGCCAGAUUAACCUUAAAAUUUCAUACUCUGAGCUAUACUAGGACCUCUUCCAUAUUCAGAUGACAGAGACCCAGAGAGGUUAAAUAACUUCCUGAAGGUGAACAGUGAUUUAGUGGCAGAGCCCCCGGAUGAGCCCCCAAACUUCCUGUCUCCACUGUCUGCAGCCUCUUCCUCUCUUUCUACGUGCUGACCUUUAGUGAGCUCUUCAUGAACUCCAGAGCUUGGUUUCCAGAAAUAGAAAGCAGUGGGUCUUCUGGACUAUCUACAGGGUUUUAUUACCAACAAGGUGAUCCAUGGCAGAGAAAUUGAGAUGAGCUGCUCAGAAUUUGCAGUUCUAAGAGUAGCAUAGGACUAUAUGACUACAUGGCCCUUAUCUUCUCUGAGCCUCAGUUUCCUCGCCUGCAAAAUGGGAAUAAGAAUAGGAUCUGUUCCCAGCAUAAUGCAUGUUUUUCACUUUAGGCUCUCGUGAUAGGUUGUAUUAUUAUUCCCAACUAUUUGUUGAACUCUCAGUAAAAGGGUUAUCCAUCUCUGACCAUAGCAAUGAGACUCACAGUGCUUCUCUGUGGGGAGGGCUAUACCUCACUGCCCCCUUGGUGUCUGCCUAGGCCAUUCGCUUCCUUUGGCCAAUGGAACAUGAAUAGAAGCUACAUGUGCCACAUCCCAGCAGACGCUUUAAGAGUCAUUGUAAGACUCAGCCACGGCAUUUUCGCUUCUGUCUCUGGAAUGAUAUAGCGCCACUCCUUCAGUCUGAGACCCAGAAUGUGAACACAUAUAGAACAGGACCUCAAAUGACCUGCUGUCAUGUGGCGUAAAUAAGAAAUAAACCUUGUUGUUGUCAGCUGUUGAGACUGUGGGGUGGUUUCUGCUGCAUAGCCUAGCAAAUGCUGACUAGUAAUCUUUCGCUUAUAAUCUAGACAGACUCGUUUGGGACAUCUUAAAACAGAGGGUAGAGUUUGUCGCAAUGAUAUCCAUAAAAAUGCAUCAAAUCCUUGGGGGUCCUAGAGCUAAGUAUUAGGCAGUAGUCGGAUAAGCUGCCAUAAUAAGAGGUUUCAAAAUAAAAGUCUUAAACAAGGUACACAUUGACUUCUUUCCUAAAACAGAAGACGUAAGUGACUGGUCCAGGGUGGUUAGGAAGCUCUGCUGGGUGAGGUCACCCAAACAUCCAGUUUCUCUCCAACCUGCAUCCCCCGCUACCAUCCAAGAUGUUCUCCUCAUCUCUACCAUGUCCACAUUCCAGCCUGCAGGAAGGAGGACAGAGAGAGCUGGAAUGACCAGUGCUCCUGGUCGUAAGGAGAUGGCCCAGUUUGGUGAAAGAUGUACUUGCUGAGGUAGCAGAGGGCCUCUGGCUGAGGGACAGCUGUGCCCUAUAUCACAAGAUAAGCUACUGAGGCACAGAAAGGUGAAGUACCAACAGGGUCCCCGGUUAGUGGCAGAACCAUUGCAGAUCUAAGCAGCCUGGCUCCGGAGCCUCCGAGUGCAACCUCCGCAUCAUACAGCCUCUCAAGAUGUCAGCAGCCCACCCCAGACCUAAAGAAUCAGAUCCUCUGAGGGGGGGGACAUGGGAAUCUGCAUUUGAACAAGUUUCAAAUAGGUGGUUCUGAUGCACAGCCAGAGUCAGACUGCGGAUCUAAAAAGUAGCAGCAAGCCUGGGGCUGCGUGACUAGAACAAACAAGUCUGCUUCCAGGAUUUUCAAGUUUGUCUGAUCAUGUGAACAUGAAGCCUGCUGAAUAAUGUUGACGGAUUGUGUCCUCUUUGUGAGGGGGGAACCCAAACCCAGGUCAAUCACAAAGAACCUGUGAGCAGAAGGCCAACUCAGGAGACCUGCCCAUGAGACAUUUUCUGAAGGGGCUCCAGCCACUGGCCACCAUCCUUGGAACUCUGUGUACCUGCCUAGUUCCUGGACUUUGAUCUCCCAUCUGACCUCCUUCUCACCCCUGCUCUGAUCUGACAACUCCUGCUGGGUUGACCCCAUCUCUGACCCCAGCCCGCCUGGGUUUUCAGUCUCACUGCUCCAGGCUGAAGUCUCACAGGAUGACAGCCUGAGGCAAGACAGUAUUUGCAUCGGCCACCAAUAAUGGGAGCAGGAUGCCACCUCUUCUAAUGAUGUAAUGACAAAUGGAAUAUUCAUGUUAAAAGAACUGUGACUUUCAGGGUGGAAUUCGGGUAAUCUCAAACCAACUCUGUGACCAUCACUGAACGUGGAAUGUUGAAACAGAAAUAAACAGGCCUUCAUCCCAA